GCUCAAUGGUAGAGCGUUCGACUCAAAUACCAAAGGUCGCGGGUUCGAAUCCCAU
rnacentral:tRNA from 1 species